rnacentral:tRNA from 1 species
GCCAGUGUGGCUUAGUGGCUUGAGCAUUGGACUACAACUCGAGACCAGGGUUCGAUUCCCCACUUGGCCA